GCAGUGAGGAUCCAGCUCAAUGGCACGGACGCUGAGUUGGUCUCAGCUGUCAGGUACUUUGACCAGAGGGAGGCUCAGGCCCAGCAAGGGAGGCUCCGGCAGCAGACCCAGGACCAGUCGGAGGAGGUCCAAGACAGGCUGGCUUUCUUAGAGCUACAAGCUCAGAUACUGUUUGAGCGUGUCACUUUUGACCAGGAG